UCCCCUCCCCGUCCUCCUCCUCCCCUCGUCAGGGAUAGCGUGGCGGCUUCGCUCCGGCCGCCCUUCCUCGUCCUCCUCCCCUCGUUGAUGCGAGAAUGAGGGAUCUGGAGAGGAGGAAGAAGAAGAACCAGCGGGCGGCGGAUCUGGAUCCGGAUCCGCUCCCGUUCGCUACGGGCUCAACCCUUCCCCCAGCAAGAGCAGGGGUGCGCCCGCGCGUCCUCCUCCUGCUACCCGUGGAAGGAGGUCCAAAUACACCAGACAAUCUGUGGUUGGUCUUGCAUCAGGGGAGGGGAAUUACACAUACAUCGUAAGGGAUGCUCAGAAAAGUAUCAAUCUUCCCAAUGUGAUUCUUGUCGAUGCCAUGGGCCUGCCGCUCAACAACGAUCAGCUGCACCUCUCCACAGAAGCUCAACUCCGGCUCGGUGAAAUGUUAGCGCAAGCCUAUCUUGAAUUCGAGUCAUCUAGAGAUCCCAGGCUAUAGCAUCAAUAACAUUGCCUGAUUUGUUAGUUAUAGAUACAAUUAUUCUUUGAGAACAUCCUCUUGUAGAGUGUAGAUGAAUGUACAAACAAGGGAAGAUGUGCCCACCAGCGCGCUGUCGCUCACUAUACUGCAAUAAAAGGAUUCUGGUAGAAAUUUAGCUCAAGCUGUUGUUCAAGUGGUGUACAUUGGGGAGAAGAGAACAAAGCCAUGUGUGUUGGAAUAAAGCUGAAGAGCAUUUGUGGUGGGAUUCAGAUAA